rnacentral:rRNA from 1 species
GCAAGUCGAGCGCACCUUCGGGUGAGCGGCGGACGGGUGAGUAAUGCAUGGGAAUCUGCCCAGUAGAGGGGGACAACAGUCGGAAACGACUGCUAAUACCGCAUACGCCCUACGGGGGAAAGGCCGGGAUCUUCGGACCGGUCGCUAUUGGAUGAGCCCAUGUCGGAUUAGCUUGUUGGUGAGGUAAGAGCUCACCAAGGCGACGAUCCGUAGCUGGUCUGAGAGGAUGAUC